CUGAAUCACCUGCCUAUGUAUUUCAUGGAGAACAUCUUUCUCCUAGCUGUAUUGGACUUCAAAAUCAUAUUCCCAAUAAUUUACAUCUACAACAUUUGAGGCAAAAAUACCGGGAUGCGAGACAUAAAAGAAUUUCGAUAUUGCAUCAGAAAAGGUUGCGAUUAUUGGCUUCAGUAUCUCAUACUACUCUAUCUAAUAGUUCUGUAGAAGAAGGUCAACAUGUACAACAUGUAAGGUUACAAUACAGAAAUUCGCGAUUUCAAAGACUUUCAAUGUUGUGCCAGAAGAGGCCGCAAUUAUUGGCUUCAAAUUCUGUCCUUGGGUAUCCUGCAUCGGGUGCUGGUGUGCCAGUGUCAAUUACUCUGAUUUUUGGGCUUCAUGGUUCUACUUACAGUUUUGUACCAAGUUCUUCGAUUCUUAUCAGACCUAACACCAUAUUUGUGCAGUCAAUAAAGGUCUAUAAUUAUAAAGGAUGUCGAAAUGAAGGGCACCACUCGGUUUCAUUCGGCAGCUAUGGCGGUUGGGUUUGCCAAAACCUCAUUUACCUUGAUCGUAAUAUUUGUUACUGGUAAAUUGGGUAGGACGUCAUUGCUUUAUAUCAGCACUGUUGGAAUGAAUAUCUGCUUAUUUGGUCUGAUCCUUACUCUUUCUUCCCUGGGGAAUGGUAAACUCGGAACUCGGGGCUGGCCUGGCAAUUUUAACAGUUUGUGGCAAUGAUUCUUUCUUCUCCAAUUUUAGCAGUUUCAACAGUCAUUUUUUUUUAAUCGACACACCAAUACACGACCCACGAACCCAUUGAUACCUGGGUUCCUCAUUCAGGUUUAGUAGGUUAUUCGAUGAACCAUUGUUUCAAGUAUUGGUUGUAUAUGCAUAUUGACAAAUCAGUAGAUCACUUAUUGAUAUCCGUACCCCUUAUUGAUAUCCGUAGACCCUAAUGUACCCAUAAAAAGUAACAGGGGUGGUGUUUUGUUAGCAUUAAUGUUUGGGACAACUUGGAAUUUCGGUUGAGAAUUAAAGAGUUUACUGCCUACAAUGAAGUAAUCGAGACAGUUUGAGGUUUGACUUCAUAUGAAAUCUACAGCGUCUUGACUUUGUUAGUUAGUUUCAUAUGUUUUUAUUUUCUUAUGUUUGUUAUAGAGCUUCUCUGUUGUGAAAAAUUAGUUAGUUUCAUAUGUUCUUAUUUUCUUACGUUUGUUAUAGUCUCUGUUGUGAAAAAUAUAAUUUGUGUUAUUUUCUUAUUUUCUCAAGUUCUAAUGUUCGUUAUGGUAACAAAAUAUUAACAAAUUAUCGGUAAUCUUUAUUUCCCAAAUAAAGUUAAUGCCGCGCUUUGC